UCCUUGGAUCAUCCAAGUCUAUGUCUAUAGUUCUGCCUUCAAGAACAACUGCACCUUGACGAUUAAGGUCUUGUGACAAAGUCCUUUUAUAGUGCUCAUUUUGUGAUUCAGUUAUCUCCUUGCCACCAUCACGAAAGAUUCCAUGAUCUGGAAGGUGUGUGUAAUCAUCUCCUAGAUCCGCUUCCAAAUCCAAUGUAGGAUCAACAUGCCGAAUCUUUUUCCGAGUUUCAGCAGCCAAUAUCUCGUCAUCCUUCAGAAAAAGGGCAAGUUCUUCGUCUUCAGCAGCCUCUGCUGCAGCUGCAAUAGAAUUUUUGGUACUAUGAAGGUACUCCGCUCUAAAAUAUUUUGUCCAAAAG
rnacentral:misc_RNA from 1 species